rnacentral:rRNA from 1 species
UACGUAGGUGGCGAGCGUUGUCCGGAUUUGCUGGGCGUAAAGAGCGCGCAGGCGGUCGUACAAGUCGCGUGUGAAAGCCCCCGGCUCAACUGGGGAGGGUCACGCGAUACUGUUCGACUCGAAGGCAGGAGAGGGAAGUGGAAUUCCCGGUGUAGUGGUGAAAUGCGUAGAUAUCGGGAGGAACACCAGUGGCGAAGGCGACUUCCUGGCCUGUUCUUGACGCUGAGGCGCGAAAGCUAGGGUAGCAAACAGG